UUACCUACGGGGGGCAGCAGUGAGGAAUAUUGGUCAAUGGGAGAGAUCCUGAACCAGCCAAGCCGCGUGAGGGAAGACGGCCCUAUGGGUUGUAAACCUCUUUUGUCGGAGAACAAAACCCGGGACGUGUCCCGGACUGCGUGUAUCCGAAGAAAAAGCAUCGGCUAACUCCGUGCCAGCAGCCGCGGUAAUACGGAGGAUGCGAGCGUUAUCCGGAUUCAUUGGGUUUAAAGGGUGCGCAGGCGGGCCUUUAAGCCGGCGGUGAAAU
rnacentral:rRNA from 1 species